rnacentral:lncRNA from 1 species
GGUGGUCCAAAACCUGGUGGUCCCGGAACCGGUGAAAACGGAGCCGGCACUAAACCUAGUGGUCCCGGAACCGGUGAAAACGGAGCCGGCACUAAACCUAAUGACCUUGGAACCGGGGCAGAUGGAGAAGGUACUAAACCUGGUGGCUCUGGAACCGGCGAAGACGGAGCCGGUACAAAACCUGGUGGCCUUGAGACAGGAGAAGACGGAGCCGGUACUAAACCUGGUGGCCACGGAACCGGCGAAGACGGAGCUGGUACUAAACCUGUUGGCUCUGGAACUGGUAACGAUGGAGGCGGUCCUAGACCUGUUAUCCCUGGAAAGAUGGGACCCCUUGGUGGUGACAAGGGAAAUGAAUUCGACGAUGUUGGUUUUGAUGGUGUGAAGAAAAUAACUGUGGGAGCAGAUGAAUUCAGUGUAACUUAUAUCAAGAUCGAAUACAUAAAGGACGGAAAAGUUGAAAUACGUGAACACGGGACUAAUCGCGGGCAACUAAAAGAGGUAUAAAACAUUGUGAUUAUUUUUUUUACGAUAAUAUUCAUUGGGUUUGCUAAUAAAUUGUUUGAUUUUUAUGGAAAAUAAAAUACAGUUUUCGGUGGAUUAUCCAAAUGAUAACAUCGUGGCCGUUGGUGGAAGCUACGAUCAUAUUUUCACAUAUGAUACAACGCUUAUCACAUCGCUAUACUUCACAACCUCCAGGGGUUUUACCUCUCCAUUAUUCGGUGAGAAGACAGGAACAGAUUUCGAGUUCCAAGGUGAAAAUAAAGGAAAGCUUCUCGGGUUCCAUGGACGUGCUGGGCAUGCUAUUGAUGCCAUCGGAGCUUACUUCCACACUGGUUCACAAGGUGGCCAGGGAGCUGGUUCACAAGGUGGCCAGGGAGCUGGUUCACAAGGUGGCCAGGGAGGUGACCCCGGAAAAGGUGGUCCUAGACCUGUUGUCCCCGGAAAGAUGGGACCCUUAGGUGGUGCCAAGGGAAAUGAAUUCGAUGAUGUUGGUUUUGAUGGUGUGAAGAAAGUAACUGUGGGAGCAGAUGAAUUCAGUGUAACUUAUAUCAAGAUCGAAUACAUAAAGGACGGAAAAGUUGAACGUGUGUCUGGUUACUACCGAACGACUUUCUCCGGAGACGUUAUAACGGCGUUAUUGUUUAGGACGAACAAGAAGACCUAUGGGCCUUAUGGAAACCUAACACGAAACUUCUUUUCUGCUGACGCACCGAGAAACAACCAAAUCGCUGGAUUUCUAGGAAAUAGUGGAAGUGCACUCAACUCCAUCAACGUUCAUUUUGCUCCCAUUCCUCCCCCUGGUAGCAUUAAACCAAAACCUGCUGGCCCCGGAACAGGCGACGCUGGAAGCGGUCAACCUGUUAGCCCAGGACCCGGCGAUGCGGGAGGUGGUCCAAAACCUGGUGGUCCUGGAACCGGUGAAAACGGAGCCGGCACUAAACCUAGUGGUCCCGGAACCGGUGAAAACGGAGCCGGCACUAAACCUGGUGACCUUGGAACCGGGGCAGAUGGAGAAGGUACUAAACCUGGUGGCUCUGGAACCGGCGAAGACGGAGCCGGUACUAAACCUGGUGGUCCUGGAACCGGUGAAAACGGAGCCGGCACUAAACCUAGUGGUCCCGGAACCGGUGAAAACGGAGCCGGCACUAAACCUGGUGACCUUGGAACCGGGGCAGAUGGAGAAGGUACUAAACCUGGUGGCUCUGGAACCGACGAAGACGGAGCCGGUACUAAACCUGGUGGCCUUGAGACAGGAGAAGACGGAGCUGGUACUAAACCUGUUGGCUCUGGAACUGGUAACGAUGGAGGCGGUCCUAGACCUGUUAUCCCUGGAAAGAUGGGACCCCUUGGUGGUGACAAGGGAAAUGAAUUCGACGAUGUUGGUUUUGAUGGUGUGAAGAAAAUAACUGUGGGAGCAGAUGAAUUCAGUGUAACUUAUAUCAAGAUCGAAUACAUAAAGGACGGAAAAGUUGAAAUACGUGAACACGGGACUAAUCGCGGGCAACUAAAAGA